rnacentral:rRNA from 1 species
GUAUUGAUUGGUGCUUGCAUCAUGAUUUACAUUUGAGUGAGUGGCGAACUGGUGAGUAACACGUGGGAAACCUGCCCAGAAGCGGGGGAUAACACCUGGAAACAGAUGCUAAUACCGCAUAACAACUUGGACCGCAGGGUCCGAGCUUGAAAGAUGGCUUCGGCUAUCACUUUUGGAUGGUCCCGCGGCGUAUUAGCUAGAUGGUGGGGUAACGGCUCACCAUGGCAAUGAUACGUAGCCGACCUGAGAGGGUAAUCGGCCACAUUGGGACUGAGACACGGCCCAAACUCCUACGGGAGGCAGCAGUAGGGAAUCUUCCACAAUGGACGAAAGUCUGAUGGAGCAACGCCGCGUGAGUGAAGAAGGGUUUCGGCUCGUAAAACUCUGUUGUUAAAGAAGAACAUAUCUGAGAGUAACUGUUCAGGUAUUGACGGUAUUUAACCAGAAAGCCACGGCUAACUACGUGCCAGCAGCCGCGGUAAUACGUAGGUGGCAAGCGUUGUCCGGAUUUAUUGGGCGUAAAGCGAGCGCAGGCGGUUUUUUAAGUCUGAUGUGAAAGCCUUCGGCUCAACCGAAGAAGUGCAUCGGAAACUGGGAAACUUGAGUGCAGAAGAGGACAGUGGAACUCCAUGUGUAGCGGUGAAAUGCGUAGAUAUAUGGAAGAACACCAGUGGCGAAGGCGGCUGUCUGGUCUGUAACUGACGCUGAGGCUCGAAAGUAUGGGUAGCAAACAGGAUUAGAUACCCUGGUAGUCCAUACCGUAAACGAUGAAUGCUAAGUGUUGGAGGGUUUCCGCCCUUCAGUGCUGCAGCUAACGCAUUAAGCAUUCCGCCUGGGGAGUACGGCCGCAAGGCUGAAACUCAAAGGAAUUGACGGGGGCCCGCACAAGCGGUGGAGCAUGUGGUUUAAUUCGAAGCUACGCGAAGAACCUUACCAGGUCUUGACAUACUAUGCAAAUCUAAGAGAUUAGACGUUCCCUUCGGGGACAUGGAUACAGGUGGUGCAUGGUUGUCGUCAGCUCGUGUCGUGAGAUGUUGGGUUAAGUCCCGCAACGAGCGCAACCCUUAUUAUCAGUUGCCAGCAUUAAGUUGGGCACUCUGGUGAGACUGCCGGUGACAAACCGGAGGAAGGUGGGGAUGACGUCAAAUCAUCAUGCCCCUUAUGACCUGGGCUACACACGUGCUACAAUGGAUGGUACAACGAGUUGCGAACUCGCGAGAGUAAGCUAAUCUCUUAAAGCCAUUCUCAGUUCGGAUUGUAGGCUGCAACUCGCCUACAUGAAGUCGGAAUCGCUAGUAAUCGCGGAUCAGCAUGCCGCGGUGAAUACGUUCCCGGGCCUUGUACACACCGCCCGUCACACCUGAGAGUUUGUAACACCCAAAGUC